GGAACGAACGUUGACGGCGUGGAUUAGGCAUGCAAGUCGAACGAGAACGUCACCUUCGGGUGGCUAGUAAAGUGGCGAACGGGUGAGUAACGCGUGGGAAACCUGCCCUCGAGUUGGGGAUAACACUCCCAACGGAGUGCUAAUACCGAAUAAGACCACGGAGUCGCAUGACUCAGCGGUCAAAAGUGGCCUCUACAUGUAAGCUACUGCUUGAGGAUGGUCCCGCGUCCCAUUAGCUUGUUGGUGAGGUAAGAGCUCACCAAGGCUACGAUGGGUAGCUGGUCUGAGAGGAUGGUCAGCCACACUGGGACUGAGAUACGGCCCAGACUCCUACGGGAGGCAGCAGUCGAGAGGCUUCGGCAAUGGGGGAAACCCUGACCGAGCGACGCCGCGUGGGCGAUAAGGCCGUAAGGUUGUAAAGCCCUGUCAAGAGGGGCGAAAUGCAGGUGUUCGAACAGGGCAUCUGUUUGACGGUACCUCUAAAGGAAGCUCCGGCUAACUCCGUGCCAGCAGCCGCGGUAAUACGGGGGGAGCGAACGUUGUUCGGAAUUACUGGGCGUAAAGGGCGCGCAGGCGGCUUGGUCAGUGGAAUGUGAAAUGCCCUGGCUCAACCAGGGAACGGCAUUCCAUACUGCCAAGCUUGAGUACAGGAGAGGAUGGGGGAAUUCCCGGUGUAGCGGUGGAAUGCAUUGAUAUCGGGAGGAACACCAGUGGCGAAGGCGCCCAUCUGGCCUGAUACUGACGCUCAGGCGCGAAAGCUAGGGGAGCAAACAGGAUUAGAUACCCUGGUAGUCCUAGCCGUAAACGGUGAGCACUAGGUGUAGGAGGCAUCGACCCCUCCUGUGCCGCAGCUAACGCAUUAAGUGCUCCGCCUGGGGAGUACGACCGCAAGGUUGAAACUCAAAGGAAUUGACGGGGCCCCGCACAAGCGGUGGAGCAUGUGGUUUAAUUCGAUACAACGCGAAGAACCUUACCCAGGUUUGACAUGCACCGGAUCGGUGUGGAAACACACUUUCCCUUCGGGGUCGGUGCACAGGUGCUGCAUGGCUGUCGUCAGCUCGUGUCGUGAGAUGUUGGGUUAAGUCCUGCAACGAGCGCAACCCUUGUCCUUAGUUGCCAGCAAGUGAAGUUGGGCACUCUAAGGAGACUGCCGUCGAUAAGACGGAGGAAGGUGGGGAUGACGUCAAGUCCUCAUGGUCCUUACACCUGGGGCUACACACGUGCUACAAUGGCCGGUACAGAGGGUUGCAAUGCCGCGAGGUGGAGCUAAUCCCAAAAAGCCGGUCUCAGUUCGGAUUGUAGUCUGCAACUCGACUACAUGAAGGCGGAAUCGCUAGUAAUCGCUGAUCAGCAGGCAGCGGUGAAUAUGUUCCCGGGGCUUGUACACACCGCCCGUCAAGCCACGAAAGUCGGCAGUACCCGAAGUCGCUAUCCUAACCGCAAGGAGGGAAGUGCCUAAGGUAAGGCCGGCGAUU
rnacentral:rRNA from 1 species